UUGUGUUGUUUUUUUAUCAGUUUUCUUCACCGAAUUCUGGCAUUAUUAUAUGUAGAGUUGGUCUACAAUGUAUCUACAUGCAUAAUAGUUUUGCACAUAACGACUAGGAAGACCAGAUCUCUUAAUACUCAUCAGAACUCAGGUGCAAAAGGAGAAGGGAGCGGGCGCUCCUUGUAAAAGAGGAGCGGGCGCUCCUCCAAACUCUUGUACAUGGCAGAACAAACCAGAAAGGUUGGCGCGAGGAGGGAGCUACCAAGGAGCUGGAGGUCCUAGCAUGAGGAGCAAAGGAGCGGGCGCUCUAAAGAAAAUAGGAGCGGGCGAUCCUUUAUGCAUUGAGGAUGGCAGAAGAGGGCAGAGACUUUGGAGCUACCAAGGAGCUCCCAUUGAGCAAGCGCUCCUUGGAGCACAUUUUACAAGGAGCGGGCGCUCCUUUAUAUUGAGGAGCGGGCGCUCCUCACCUGCUGGGCAGCCACCUUGUUGGCAGAAACUUUGGAGCGACCCAUGAGCUACCAAAGAGCUCCCGCUCCAUCGCCUCAUUUUGUUAGGAGCGGGCGCUCCUAUUGUACAAGGAGUGGGCGCUCCUUGUUAUUUUCGCGAUAUUUUUAUGUUAAACGCUGAUUUCAGCCUCGUUUUGUGGGGAUAUAAAUACCUUUUUCACUUAAUGACAAAUGAACUUUGAUUCCAGUAAAUCAUUUUUUAGAGAGUUCUUAGCUUAAUCUAGUGAGAGAAAGUGAAGUUCUAGAGAGAGAAAGUAGAUUUCCAUGGUUUUGUAGCUUGGACUAUGACAAAAAUCGUUGUUUUUAUGCAAGAUCUUCAUUUCUUCUUCA